UCAAUAAUCAAUUACGACCAUGCUUCAAUUGUUAUUGACAUAAUAUAUAUAUAAACGUACAAGUAUAUAUUUAAUUUAAUAAUAAAGAAUCACUUAUCUCCUUCGGUGAAUCGGUGAUUUUAAAUCGACACUAGAACAAGUGUCUUGUUUCCCACAGACGGCGCCAAUGUUAACGCCUGAUUUUGUACGCCUGACGAAAUCACCAAAACAGCAGGCCAAAAUAGCGCCAACGGUUGAUGGAGUAAUUGUUGUGAAAGCAAACUCACGAAAUACACUCGCAUAAACAUAAAUAAAAAAAUAUAAAAUAUGAACACAAGAAUUUACGUGAAACCCCAAUUGGGAAAAAACCACGGAGAGAGAGAGAAAUCCACUAUAAUAAUAUUGGGAGUACAAGUUGUGUAUUUGUGUUGUAUCUCUUGUGUCCUUUCAAAUCCUAGCUUGUAACCGUAUAUAUAGAAGUCACCUUCAUCCGUAUCCAACUAGGAGAAGGACUCCUUUUGUAGAAUCACCUUAUAACUCCUGAAUCCAAUUAGGAGUAGGAGUCCUAAUUAAACCUCCUUAUCCCACCAAAUAAGAAAAUACAAUCCUAUUUUAAUAAGAGCUCUCCAAAUAAUCACAUCCCAACAUUGCCCCCCAGUCUCUUAUUUAUAAAGAACUUAUAAUAAGAAAGUAUACAAAUUUUGUCACACCCAAACACCAUACGCCAAACAGAAACUUGUGGCUCUCAAUAUUUUCGCCCCACUCCUCAAUUCAUUUCUAAGAUAUACAUAAAGAUCCGCAAGCCACGACUCAUGUGCCACGUGUCACGAGCCACGAACCACGAGCCACGUACUUUGAGACACGAGCCACGUGCUUUGAGCUAUGAACCACGAGCAACGAGCCAAGUGCUUCGAGCCACGAGCUUCGUGCUUUGAGCUACGAGCCACGUGCUUUGAGCCACGAGCCACGAGCAACGAGCCAAGUGCUUCGAGCCAUGAGCUUCAUGCUUUGAGUCACAAACCUCGUGCUUUUAGCCGCGAGCUACAUGCUUUGAGUCACAUGACACGAGCCACGAGGGUUUAAAACAUGUCUUGGCUAGAUCUUCUCCGUUUCAAUUUCCCUUUUUCUUCUUGUAAGAUCUCGACUUUUUUCAGAAUGCUUAGAAUCUUCGAUUGCUCAAGUUCGGCACUGCUCAN
rnacentral:lncRNA from 1 species